ACUCAAAUGAAUAGACGGGGGCCCGCACAAGCGGUGGAGCAUGUGGUUUAAUUCGACGCAACGCGAAGAACCUUAAGGGGCUGCAUUAAGCCUGUAGCUUCGUAGAAGAGUUGGAAUACUAGCAAGAAAAUCGGUGUUCAGGUGCUGCAUGGCUGUCGUCAGCUCGUGUCGUGAGAUGUUGAGUUAAGUCCCGCAACGAGCGCAACCCUUAUCCUUAGUUGCCAUCAGGUAAAGCUGGGAACUCUAAGGAGACUGCCAGCGUCAAGCUGGGGGACGACGUCAAGUCCUCAUGGCCCCUACGUCCAGGGCAACACACGUGCUACAAUGGUCGGUACAAAGCGUCGCCAACCCGCGAGGGGGAGCUAAUCGCAAAAAGCCGGCCUCAGUACAGAUUGCAGUCUGCAACUCGACUGCAUGAAGUUGGAAUCGCUAGUAAUCGCUAAUCAGCAGGUAGCGGUGAAUACGUUCCCGGGCCUUGUACACACCGCCCGU
rnacentral:rRNA from 1 species